UACUGAAGGUGCAAGCGUUAAUCGGAAUUACUGGGCGUAAAGCGCGCGUAGGCGGUUUGUUAAGUUGGAUGUGAAAGCCCAGGGCUCAACCUUGGAACUGCAUCCGAUACUGGCAGGCUAGAAUAUAGGAGAGGGAGGUAGAAUUUCAGGUGUAGCGGUGAAAUGCGUAGAGAUCUGGAGGAACAUCAGUGGCGAAGGCGGCCCCUCGCGAAGACCUA
rnacentral:rRNA from 1 species